rnacentral:rRNA from 1 species
GAGUUUGAUUCUGGCUCAGAUUGAACGCUGGCGGCAUGCUUUACACAUGCAAGUCGAACGGCAGCACAAGGAGCUUGCUCCUGGGUGGCGAGUGGCGAACGGGUGAGUAAUGUAUCGGAACGUGCCUGGUAGUGGGGGAUAACCACUCGAAAGAGUGGCUAAUACCGCAUGAGAUCUCUGGAUGAAAGCGGGGGACCUUUGGGCCUCGCGCUACCGGAGCGGCCGAUAUCAGAUUAGGUUGUUGGUGGGGUAAAGGCCUACCAAGCCUGCGAUCUGUAGCUGGUCUGAGAGGACGACCAGCCACACUGGGACUGAGACACGGCCCAGACUCCUACGGGAGGCAGCAGUGGGGAAUUUUGGACAAUGGGCGCAAGCCUGAUCCAGCAAUGCCGCGUGCAGGAUGAAGGCCCUCGGGUUGUAAACUGCUUUUGUACAGAACGAAAAGUCUCUGGCUAAUACCUGGGGAUCAUGACGUACU